rnacentral:rRNA from 1 species
UACGGAGGGUGCAAGCGUUAUCCGGAUUCACUGGGUGUAAAGGGUGCGUAGGAGGGCAGGUAAGUCAGUGGUGAAAUCCCCGAGCUUAACUUGGGAACUGCCGUUGAUACUAUCUGUCUUGAAUAUUGUGGAGGUGAGCGGAAUAUGUCAUGUAGCGGUGAAAUGCUUAGAUAUGACAUAGAACACCAAUUGCGAAGGCAGCUCGCUACACAUAUAUUGACUCUGAGGCACGAAAGCGUGGGGAUCAAACAGG